rnacentral:rRNA from 1 species
GACGAACGCUGGCGGCGUGCUUAACACAUGCAAGUCGAACGGAAAGGCCCUUCGGGGUACUCGAGUGACGCACGGGUGAGUAACACGGUGGCGAACUGGCCUGCACCUUGUGAUAAGCCUGGCAAACUGGGGCUAAUACCGAAUGGGACCACGCGCUACAUGGUGUGAGGUGGAAAGCCCUUGGGGUGUGGGUUGGGUCGGCGGCCUAUCAGCUUGUUGGUGGGGUAUUGGCAUACGAAGGCGAAGACGGGUAGCCGGCAUGGGAGGGUGACCGGCCACAAUGGGACUGAGAUACGGAGCAGACUCGUACGGGAGGCAGCAGGGGGGAGCAUUGCACAGUGGGGGCGAGCCUGAUGCAGAGGCGCCGCGUGAGGGAUGACGGCCUUCGGGAGGUAAACGUCUUUCAGUGGAGACGAAGAGGUAGUGACGGUACCUAUAGAAGAAGCACCGGCUAACUACGUG